GUGCGAGGCAGCAAUUUCUGGGGUUUACCUAUGCCGCCAUCUUGGUUUCCUGACUUCCCUGCUUUUUAAUGGGAUGUCCAUAGCAGCAUGCCUGUCUCACCAUUGUAGAUUUGGAUACCAGUCAUUGGAUGUAGGCCCACCCCAAAUCCAGGAUGAUUGCAUCUGGAGAUCCUUAAUUCCUUCUGCAUAGACCCUGUUUCCAAGUAAUGCGAACAGUAUCUCCAAAUUGACCUCUUGGGAAAUCCCAAGUGUCCCAGCUACGACAGCUUCCAAGGGUCAGG